GACGAACGCUGGCGGCGUGCUUAACACAUGCAAGUCGAACGGAAAGGCCCUGCUUUUGUGGGGUGCUCGAGUGGCGAACGGGUGAGUAACACGUGAGUAACAUGCCCUUGACUUUGGGAUAACUUCAGGAAACUGGGGCUAAUACCGGAUAGGAGCUCCUGCUGCAUGGUGGGGGUUGGAAAGUUUCGGCGGUUGGGGAUGGACUCGCGGCUUAUCAGCUUGUUGGUGGGGUAGUGGCUUACCAGGGCUUUGACGGGUAGCCGGCCUGAGAGGGUGACCGGCCACAUUGGGACUGAGAUACGGCCCAGACUCCUACGGGAGGCAGCAGUGGGGAAUAUUGCACAAUGGGCGGAAGCCUGAUGCAGCAACGCCGCGUGCGGGAUGACGGCCUUCGGGUUGUAAACCGCUUUCGCCUGUGACGAAGCGUGAGUGACGGUAAUGGGUAAAGAAGCACCGGCUAACUACGUG
rnacentral:rRNA from 1 species